AUACUUACCUGGCAGGGGAAACACCAUGGUCACGAAGCUGGUUUUCUCAGGGCAAGGUUUAUCCAUUGCACUGCAGAUAUGCUGAGUUAUUUGAUUUCCCCAAAUGUGGGAAACUUGACUACAUAAUUUGUGGUGGUGGGAGUGACUGCAUUCAUACUCUCCCCUG